rnacentral:rRNA from 1 species
AAUAGAUACCCGGGUAGUCCAUGCCGUAAACGAUGUCUACUAGCCGUUGGGGCCCUUGAGGCUUUAGUGGCGCAGCUAACGCGAUAAGUAGACCGCCUGGGGAGUACGGUCGCAAGACUAAAACUCAAAUGAAUUGACGGGGGCCCGCACAAGCGGUGGAGCAUGUGGUUUAAUUCGAUGCAACGCGAAGAACCUUACCUGGCCUUGACAUACAGAGAACUUUCCAGAGAUGGAUUGGUGCCUUCGGGAACUCUGAUACAGGUGCUGCAUGGCUGUCGUCAGCUCGUGUCGUGAGAUGUUGGGUUAAGUCCCGCAACGAGCGCAACCCUUUUCCUUAUUUGCCAGCACUUCGGGUGGGAACUUUAAGGAUACUGCCAGUGACAAACGUGGAGGAAGGCGGGGACACGGUCAAGUCAUCAUGGCCCUUACGGCCAGGGCUACGACACGUGCUACAAUGGUCGGUACAAAGGGUUGCUACUGCGCGAGCAGAUGCUAAUCUCAAAAAGCCGAUCGUAGUCCGGAUCGCAGU